UUGGGUGAUGAUAUACCGACUCACGGAAAGGCAUUCCUCGACCUGAAUAUACAAUGUCGAAUCUGUCUAAAAUCAAGUUUCAGCCUUGUCUGACU
rnacentral:snoRNA from 1 species